GGGUGCGAUCAUACCAGCGUUAAUGCACCAGAUCCCAUCAGAACUCCGCAGUUAAGCGUGCUUGGGCCAGAGUAGUACCCGGGAAGUCCUGGUGUUGCACCCU
rnacentral:rRNA from 1 species